GUCCCCAUCGUCUAGUCAGGCCCAGGACAACAGACUUUCGAUCUGUCGACCGGGGUUCGAAUCCCCGUGGGGACG
rnacentral:tRNA from 1 species